ACGUAGGUGGCAAGCAUUAUCCGGAUUUACUGGGCGUAAAGGGUGCGUAGGCGGAUUUUUAAGUGAGAUGUGAAAUACCCGGGCUCAACCUGGGGGCUGCAUUUCAAACUGGAAAUCUAGAGUGCAGGAGAGGAAAGUGGAAUUCCUAGUGUAGCGGUGAAAUGCGUAGAGAUUAGGAAGAACACCAGUGGCGAAGGCGACUUUCUGGACUGUAACUGACGCUGAGGCACGAAAGCGUGGGGAGCAAACAG
rnacentral:rRNA from 1 species